rnacentral:tRNA from 1 species
UCCCAGCUAGCUCAGCUGGUAAAGUAGCCGCCUGCAGUGCAGGAUACCCUGGUUCAAUCCCUGGGUGGGGAA